CCGACCAUAGCAAGAACAAAGGAAGAAAAGAAGAACACAAACCCUAGGUGGAAAAAUUCAUGGGAAAAGUGUGAAAAUUCAAGUAAUCAAGCAAUCAAAGGUAAAAUUUCUUGAUUUUGACUUGUGAUCUACCUUUCCCAUGCAUUAUUUUGCAUUUUUCAUGGUUGAAUCACAAGAUAUCAUGAAGGAUUCAUUGCUGACCGAAUUUAGAGAGAGAGGAUUUGAUGGUUGUUUUGGUUAGAUUUUAAGAUAUUCUAGUGUUUUUAGUUAGUUGGUGAUGUAUAGCAUGAAAAUCAAACAAGAAAAAUUCAUUUUCUCCCAUAACCCAUCAUUGGCUGAAUUUUCCAUGUAGAGUGUGGAUGAUGAUUUUGAUUUUAUUUCCAGUGAAUUGGUUAGGAAAUGAUGAAUUAUGGUGAGAAAAUCAAGUAGGAAAAAUCAUAAUGUUGAUGCACCCACCAUGGCCGAAUUUUUCAAGAGAAAAUGUGAAGAUGAUUUUGCUAGAUUUUAUGCUAUUUGACUUGUGUUUGAUGAUUUGGAGUAUUGAGAGAAAAAUGAAAUUAUUUGGAGUGAAAUUGGACAUAUUGGCCAAUUAAUCGAGAGAUAGAUCAAAUUAGAUCAAUACCGUUUUAUUUAGAUACACAAUUGAAUUUAUGUAGAGUACUGUGUUUGGACGAUAAUCCGAACAAUUUGCAUCCCAUUUCAUGCAUUAGUAAAGAGCCUGAAAUAGAUUUAUAAUGGUAUGACACAGUAUAUUAAAUUAUGUGUCGUGUAUUGUGUAUAGGUGUUGAGCCUUCUAACAAGGGUAAAGACGUUGUGUUAGAGGAUUGAGAAUAGGAGUAAUUCAAACUCCUUAUACAAUAAGUAACCUUACUAUCAUCUUAAUUAUCUGAAGUGGUUUUUAUCCGAUUUUGUGAUUUUAUGAAAAAUGAGUUUAAAUGGUAAAUCUUUAUGUUUUAUAAGUAAAAUGUGUUUAAAUGAAAUGAUUUUUUAAAAUUAUCUUGAAAUUGAAUAAUGGCUUUGAAAAUAGAGUAAUUGGAGACCAUUUGAUGUAUUGUGAAUUUAUGGUUCUAAUUGAUUGGCUUAUGACAAUAUUAGCAUGAAUGGCUGAAUUGGUAUUUGUGUUGAAAUGUAUAAACUGUUGUUUACCUUGAUAGGCUGGAUAAUAAUAAAAUUGUCAUAUCAUGCUGUUGAAUUUUUAUUGUAUGGUGGGUUUAGCUUGCUAUAGUGGGCUGGUUCUGUGGACCAACCUAUUAGAGGGGCACGAAACCUGGUCAUAUAUAUGUACCUCGAUUAGAGAGGCGCGUAGGGUAACUCUCGAGGUCAAACUUUAGAGUUCACUUCACGCCCAACCACCACGUGAGGGGAACUCGACCAACGUCAAUGAAUGGCUAUGUUUUCAAAAUAAAAACAUGAUUUAUGCGCACAUAACUUUUUAACAGCUUUGGUGGACUCGGUUGGGAUAGCCCUCAAUCAAGGCAUCCCUGAUAACUGAGUAUGAAAAUGAUUUUGGCAAGAGCCAAAGUUUUAAGAAAUUCAUAAGCCAUGUUGAUUACUCGAUUUAUGUGAAUUGAUUUUAUUUGGUUGAAACAAGUUGAAAGGUGAUGAAUUACAGUAUGUUGAACUAUUUUAUCUGUCUCCAUUUACUCGGCUUUAGAUAUUUUAGAUGAUAUUUGUUUACUCACUGAGAUUAUAUAAUCUCACCACCCUCCUUUCCACCCAUUUCAGGUUCAAGAUAGUCUAUGGAUAGCUGAUUUCAUCAAGGACCACCAUUGGAUUUGCAUCCUCCAAACUGUAGGUUCACAAUUUUUCUUACUUUCGGUUAUUCGAGAGCUCACUUGUUACUGUAAAUUAAAUUAAAUACUCUGGCUUACUGUAUUACGAUAUAUAUGAAUUUAUUUUGCUUUUACGUUGUAAAAAAUUAUUUAUGCAGUAUUCUAAAAAUAUUGUUUUAUGAGAAAAUUGAAUAUUUUAUUGAAUAUUUUUAUUUUAUUCUAAUAGUCAUAAUUUCAUUUUAAACGAAUGUUUUAGACAUCCAAAUUUAUUUUUGAUUAUGAAAUAUGUGUUUUGCACUAGCAUACUACAUUUUUAACGGAUUUCGAGAUUUAUGAGAAAAAAUGACCAAAAUGCCCCUAUGAGAAAAAAAUUGUUUUUCUAUUGUUUUGAUUUGGAAAAUGUUUAUGAUCUCUCAAAACAUAAUUUUAGUGACUAAUACUCAUAGGGGAAGGGAGAAAAAUUGAUGUUAAGCCUUGCGAGGUUUCGAUUGACAUUCCGGGUAAAGAAUGUCUAUCGGGACGUCGCGACGAUUGUCACGGGCCCGAUGAGAGUUCCGGAUCGUGACAUGAUAACUUGAAACAAAACGUACAGUUAGUUAUCUAUAGAGAGAUGAACCCAAAUCAUGCAAUUUAUUGCAAUUUUAAAAAAUUUUACUAACUAAAUUAAUGAUAUUGUGUUAUUGUUUGAUUAUGCAAUUGAGUACAUCUUCAAUGGUGACAUUUGAUGUAACUACAUGAACGAGGCUAAAUUAAUUUUCAGUGCCUUCCUUUCUGCUAUUUGUCAUAAACUCCAAGAAAUAUAUAUAUAUAUAUAUAUAUACACACACACACAUAUACACACACACACACACACACACACACACACACACGUAUAUACAUAUGUUUAUGAGUUCAAUUCCAAAAAUUAUUUGUUCUCGUAAUUUCUUUUUUUUUUAAAGACAAUCCCAAUAAAAACAGCAACAUAAGUUAUGUAUGUAUAGUCUAGUGUUCAAUGGCAUGUAAAUUUAUUGGUUCAUUAGAUUACAUAGAGAUAAGAUUUAUAUCUCUUAAUUAUAAGUUUUUGUUUUAAUCUUUCAAAUUCAGACAUGGGGAAUGAUGAAAAAUAUUUAAAUAUUAAUCAAAUUUAUAAGUUAUAAUUGGGCUAUCCAUUGAGGUUUAUUGGUCUAGAAUGCACUGGAUCUCUUAAUCUUAGUUUUUUUUUUUUAAUUUUGUCCCUAUUUUUUUAUUUUUUCUUUUCUUUUUGCCCUCCCCUUGCCACCACAGCACAAGGAUGAAAAUGCCCGGGCAUAGUAACCACAAAACUUAUUCUAUAAUCCAGUUUAUUUUAUUUUAUUUUAUACAUUUAAUAUAUUUCAGUUUUUUAAUAUAACAAAUAGAAGUUGAAUGCAAGCUAAAAAACGUUUGACAUCGUUUUGUCACUUUGUUGUCCUUUUGAUUCUUCCUAAGUAAUAGACUUUUAAUUCCUUCUUCAUUUGUUUAAAUCUCACCUUUUUCUUUUUGUUUUAUCACAACUAUUUUAUCUUAAUAUGACAAUAAUUUAUUACAUAAAUUUAAUAACAAAACCUAUAAAUUCAUAAAUAAAUCAAUCAAAAUAAGAUAUUUUUAAAAUAUAAUCAAUAAAGAGUAAAUUCUACAUAGAUAUCUUGUGAUAUAACAUUUUUUCACAUAACACUUUAAGGGGUUUUUUUUCGUAUAAAAUUAUAUUUCACUUUUAUAUUCAAAUGAGUGAACAGUGUUAUAUUUUCAAUUAAUUUUUUUAAAAAAGGCAAUAAUAGGUUUCUUUUAUAAUUCUUUUAUUUUUUUGUUCAUUUAGUUAAAAAAAAUUGGACCAUUUUUGGGAUUUCUUUUAUAAUCCUUUUAUCCUCACUCAAAUCUUUCUGUUUGAGACUCAAAAACUUAAUAGGGGUUAAAUAACAUUGAUUAUGUCUUCUUUCCUCAAGUUUCUCAAGCAAAAUACAUAAGUCCCUAGUUUAAUAUUUUUGUCUUGACAUGUUCCUCACAUAAAUUUUAUUUUAUUUUUUUGGCUAUAAAAUUUGGCCUAGGUGGCAAUUGCCAAUUUUUCUGCUUUCAUUUGUUUUUUAAAUCCUCAGUUGAGGAAAAAAUCCUGGGGAAAUAUAUGCUUCAAUUGACGAUCUAUAAAAGGCAGUACACAUAUUUUUUCAACAAAAAGAACUUUUGCUGCACAAAGCCAAAGCUACAUAUUUCCAAACCUUCCCAAGCCAAGCAACAGACAUUGUACAAUCGCCAAGUCCAGAAGCUAAACAACUAGUUGCAAGCAUCUAAAGCUCAUUACCAAAAACUUGUGCUUGUCAAAAGCAUUAAGCCAGCUUUAGCAAACACUAAACAAAACAAGCACUGCCAACCAUUUCACCUGACUUUAACCAAUUCAACAUCAAAAACCAGCCACGAGUCCGGUGGAAUAUUCUCACUAGCCCCUUCAUUUCUAUAACUGCAAAACAAACCCAAGUACAUCAUUGAAGGAACUGGACCAGGCCAAGAGUAAAAACAUAAUAGAGAAAUGAGCUUGGUGUAUUUAACCAAAUUGAAUUGCAUACCUCAUUGAUGGUGGAACAGUGAGUCUACGUUUGCCACCAACUCGCAUACCUAAAAAUCACAAUACAUUACACUCAUAAGGAACAAAAUUCUAGGAAAAUAGAAAUUCAAUUUGUUAAUGGAUAAAAAUUACUUAUGAAAAAAAAAUCAAAGCUCAUACCAUCAAUGCCAACAUUCCAUACCUCUGGAACUUCUUCCCCACCUGCAAAAGCAACAUAGUUAAAAGUCCUAACUUAAAAAGUUAGUAAAACAAAUACAUAUUUGCAAAGAGCAGCAUUUAAAUCAAAAACUUGCCCACACUCUCUAAUAACCAGUCUCCCUAGAAUGUGUAGGCACAUUUGUUCAUAAAAACUAUGCAAUAUGAUAAGAAACUGAAUAGAUAAUACCUUUUUGAAUUAGGCAAUGACCAAAAAACCACUGUGCUAGUAAAGUAUAAUUUAACCAAAGAUGCCUACCAAGCCGAAACUUUAACAGAGCUUUUCCAGCGCUUGAAUAAAAUACUUCUCCACUCUCCUUCAACUUUCCAGUGUAACGGACACGAACCUAACACAAAGAGUAUCGUUUUCAAUCAAAACUCUUUAAAUAAUUUCCUUUAGUUCAACAUGGCAGAACUUACAAGGAGAGAAUAUGCAUAGUCAUUACAAAAUGGACAAAAUAGUAAAUCAAGACCACAUGCCUUUUUACCAAGAGAAGCUAGUUUGCGAUCUGGUUUCCCCAUUUCUAACUCUUCAAUGAUCAUUCCAUUUGACAGCUGAAUUGCCUCGUAAUUAGCAUUCUCACCAUCCAUGUCCAUAACAGAUCUAUCCUUUUCAAUGCCUGAUAAGAGAGGUGCUUCCAUCUUCAUGGCAUCCCCAUUGUCCUUAUUCUUGCGCCUUUUCUUCCUUUUCCUCCUCCUAGAUUGAUUUUAUAAAAGAAAUUGAUCAGUAUCACUGUUAAAACACCUGCAAAUAGCUAAUGGCUAAGAUUUGCCAUUACAAGACUAGAACUAGAAUAAAAAGUCUUGCAGGCAAAUUCAACUCAUGCACCCAAGGUAGAUGUGUCAUGUAUAGAAAAUGAAAAAGACUGCAAUUGCACACAUGGCCAUUCACAAGUCAAGCAAGUCAACACUUACUUUUCAUUAACUUGGCUUUGAGUUUCCUUAUCCUCCACAUAUACAUCCAGGGUUACGGCAUCCAAAUUUGAACCGUUUUUCUGGCCUUUAUCUUCUUCAGCAACAUUGUCUUCAAAUGUUUUCUCUUCUACCUGUUCUUUUCUUUUCCUCAUUGGCUUUGCUCCAUCUUCAAGAGCCACUUCAGUGGAAGCUAGCAAGAGACUAUGUUGAAAGUUCUCUUCCCUACAAUAACAUAUUGUAUAGUGAUUGUUAAAACAAGAAUGAUUCCUUAAAAAACAUAUAACUAAGAUGAGGACAAACAUGGAAGCACAAAGUUUAUUAAACAGCAAAAUCUUUAAGCAAAGUAUCACUCACUCAUUACAGGCAGGCUUUUGAUUUUGCUCCAAUACCGCUUUUCCAGUCAUGCCAUGAUCAGCUUCAGGAAAUUGUUCCUCUACGAGCUCUUCUCUUUUCCUCUUCGGCAUACCAUCAUCAACACCAAGCACAAGCUUUUGUGUUUCUUCAUUCCUGACACCUGAUUCACUGUAAGCCAGCACGAAUAAAUUAAAGUUAAACCAAAUCCACUGCAACCCAGGAAUGAUCGAUGAAGCAAACAAACAUAAUAAUAGUUGGCACCUCAAGGUCCUCUUCUCGAUAUAGUUUGUUAAGCUAUUGCAUUGUAUUUCUUUAUCAUUUGAUAGGCUUGUCUGUUUCUUUUAAGUCACACAACAAACCUAGCUACAUAUCAAGCUGAAAACCUAGUGCAGCAUGAGUCCCUUCUGACAUUGUAACAUUAUCUUCAAUCUCAUUUUAUCUAUUUCCUUGCUAGCUUUUUCCUCCAUGUUGACUUUUCAACUAUUAAAUGCACAAAUCAUUAAACAACAAAAUUUUUAAGCAAAAUAUCACUCACUCAUCACUGGCAAGCUUCUGAUUUUGCUCAUUUUGUUCCAAUAUUGCUUUUCCAGUCAUGCCAUGAUCAGCUUCAGGAAAUCUUUCCUCCUUGACCAGCACUUCUCCUUUCUUCUUUGGCAUACCAUCAUCAACACCAAGCACAAGCUUUUGUGUUUCUUCAUUCGGGACAACUGAUUCACUGUAAGCCAGUACGAAUAAAUUAAAGUUAAACCAAAUCAACUGCAAGCCAGAAAUGAUUGAUGAAGCAAACAAACAUAAUAAUAGUUGGCACCUCAAGGUCCUCUUCUCGAUAUAGUUUGUUAAGCUAUUGCAUUGUAUUCCUUUAUCAACUAAUAGGCUUCUCUUUUCUUUUAAUUAGUCCCUUCUGACAUUGUAACAUUAUCUUGAGUCUCAUUUCAUCUAUUUCCUUCUCAGCUUUUUCCCUCCACAUCAUUUUCCAUUAUCCAAUGCAUAAUUCAUUAAACAACAAAAUUUUUAAGCAAAAUAUCACUCACUCAUUCCUGGGCAGCUUCUGAUUUUGCUCAUUUUGUUCCAAUACUGCCUUUCCAGUCAUGCCAUGAUCAGCUUCAGGAAAUCUUUCCUCCUUGACCAGCACUGCUCUUUUCUUCUUUGACAUACCAUCAUCAACACCAAGCACAAGCUUUUGUGUUUCUUCAUUCGGGACAACUGAUUCACUGUAAGCCAGUAAGAAUAAAUUAAAGUUAAACCAAAUCAACUGCAAGCCAGAAAUGAUUGAUGAAGCAAACAAACAUAAUAAUAGUUGGCACCUCAAGGUCCUCUUCUCAAUAUAGUUUGUUAAGCUAUUGCAUUGUAUUCCUUUAUCAACUAAUAGGCUUUUCUGUUUCUUUUAAUUAGUCCCUUCUGACAUUGUAACAUUAUCUUGAGUCUCAUUCUAUCUAUUUCCUUCCUAACUUUUUCCUCCACGUCAUUUUCCACUCUCUAAUGCUCAAUUCAUUAAACAAGAAAAUUUUUAAGCAAAAUAACACUCACUCAUUACUGGCCAACUUCUGAUUUUGCUCAUUUUGUUCCAAUACUGCUUUUCCAGUCAUGCCAUGAUCAUCUUCAGAAAAUCUUUCCUCCUUGACCAUCACUUCUCUUUUCUUCUUUGGCAUACCAUCAUCAACGCCAAGCACAACCUUCUGUGUUUCUUCAUUCCUGACACCUGAUUCACUGUAAGCCAGUACAAAUAAAUUAAAGUUAAACCAUAUCAACUGCAAGCCAGAAAUGAUAAAUGAAGCAAACAACCAUAAGUUUAACAGAUAAUAGUUGGCACCCCCACGCCCUCUUCUCAAUAAAGUUUGUUCAGCUAUUGCAUUGUAUUUCUCAUCGUUUGAUAGGCUUAUCUGUUUCUUUUAAGUUUUACAACAAUUCUACCUUUCAGGCCUAACACCUAUUGCAGCAGUAGUCCCUUCCGACAUUAAAACAAUGUCUUCAGUCUCAUUGUUGUUAAGAUUAUCUAUUUCCUUCCUAGCAUUUUCCUCCACGUCAACCUUUCCACUAUCCGAUGCAUUGUUUCCCCUACAGAGAGAAGAAAUAGGCAAGGUAUCUUCAAAUUCACUGUCCAAU
rnacentral:lncRNA from 1 species